rnacentral:rRNA from 1 species
UACGUAGGUGGCAAGCGUUGUCCGGAUUUAUUGGGUUUAAAGGGUGCGUAGGCGGCCCUGUAAGUCAGUGCUGGAAUAUCCCGGCUUAACCGGGAGGGUGGCAUUGAUACUGCGGGGCUAGAGUACAGAUGAGGUAGGCGGAAUUGACGGUGUAGCGGUGAAAUGCUUAGAUAUCGUCAAGAACACCUAUAGCGAAGGCAGCUUACUAGGCUGUAACUGACGCUGAGGCACGAAAGUGUGGGGAUCAAACAGG